rnacentral:rRNA from 1 species
GACGAACGCUGGCGGCGUGCCUAAUACAUGCAAGUAGAACGCUGAAGGAGGAGCUUGCUCUUCUGGAUGAGUUGCGAACGGGUGAGUAACGCGUAGGUAACCUGCCUGGUAGCGGGGGAUAACUAUUGGAAACGAUAGCUAAUACCGCAUAACAGUAGAUGUUGCAUGACAUUUACUUAAAAGGUGCAAUUGCAUCACUACCAGAUGGACCUGCGUUGUAUUAGCUAGUUGGUGGGGUAACGGCUCACCAAGGCGACGAUACAUAGCCGACCUGAGAGGGUGAUCGGCCACACUGGGACUGAGACACGGCCCAGACUCCUAAGGGAGGCAGCAGUAGGGAAUCUUCGGCAAUGGACGGAAGUCUGAACGAGUAACGCCGCGUGAGUGAAGAAGGUUUUCGGAUCGUAAAGCUCUGUUGUAAGAGAAGAACGAGUGUGAGAGUGGAAAGUUCACACUGUGACGGUAGCUGACCAGAAAGGGACGGCUAACUACGUG